rnacentral:ncRNA from 17 species
GGGUGUUUUUGCUGCAUCGGGCAGCGGAAACAGGUCGUGCGUUGGUCGGGCCGCCGCG